rnacentral:rRNA from 1 species
AUGACAAGGCGAGGGAAGUGGCACCGGUGGAGACAAAGGAACGACACCAGGCUUAGUACCGUCCGCAGAUCGUCGCAGGCGCGCAGCCCCUGGCCUCCACAGAUCCCUCAAAAAACAGAGAAUAUGAGAUCCCGCCCGUCCGAUGCGGAGGACUCCACCUCGAGCAUGUAUGUACUCAUUGCACCAGGCCCAUCCAGCUUUGGCACGCACACGAGGGACCUGCUAGUCCCUUGCAACAAGAUGGGCACCAUCCACAACAACGGCACCGGUGACGUCGCCGUCAGGGCCGUCCCCGCCUGCGGGAUGAGGCUAUUGCUGCGGUGGCAGAUGGCCGUGGAUGGCGAGGUUGAGGCAGCCGCCAGCCUUUUUCGUGUAGUGGCGGCGGCCACGGAUGGGGAGAGUGGAGGAUGGGGGAUCUGA